UAAACUAGGAUUAGAUACCCUAUUAUUUUAAAUGUUAAUUUUUGAUACUAAAUUAUUAGUAGUUAUGUUCUAUAAAAUUAAAAAAUUUGGCGGUAUUUUAGUCUUUUCAGAGGAACCUGUCCUGUAAUUGAUAGUCCACGAUUAUAUAUAUUUUAUUUUUUAAUUUACAUAUCAUCGUAGUUAGAAUAUUUUAAUAGAAAAAUAAUAUUCAAGAUUUUAUAUUAAAAAUUAAAUCAGAUCAAGGUGUAGUUUAUAAUAAAAUAGAGAUGGGUUACAUUAAAUUUAUUUUAGGAUUAUAUUUUUUAAAAAUAUUUGAAUUUGGAUUUGAAAGUAAUUUUUUGAUUUUACUUAAGAUGAUUAUAGCUCUAAAAUAUGUACACAUCGCCCGUCGCUCUUAA
rnacentral:rRNA from 1 species